AUGGCGAUGUCUGGGAUGGACGGCUCGGUGGAGGACCAGAGUUUCCUGCGCUUCAGCCCUACAGUGUCCGUGUCCACCGGAGUGGCCGCUGCCUCCUACGGACGGACUGCUAAUGUUUACGUCUACAUCUCCAUCUUCCUCAGCCUGCUUCUGUUCCUGCUCACCCUCCUCAUCAUCGCUCUCCACCGGCUGAAGAACAUCAUCUCCUCCAGCUCCUCCUACCCAGAAUGCAGCAGCGACGCCGGCAGCUCCUUCACCAACAUGGAGAUCUGCAGCAUUUCCUCACAGAGAUCCACCGUGUCCUCGCUGUCCUGA
ensembl:processed_transcript